rnacentral:ncRNA from 1 species
AGAAACAGAAAAAGAUGAAAAGAAUAUUAGUAAAUACAUGUUGGUGGCGUCUCUUGCAACUGAAUAAGUCGUAAGAGAACCAGUCCAUGUGUAUAUACUUAACAUUCUAAAAGGAUAUUCAGAAAAGGUCUGUC